rnacentral:rRNA from 1 species
UACGUAGGGGGCUAGCGUUGUCCGGAAUCAUUGGGCGUAAAGAGCGUGUAGGCGGCCCGGUAAGUCCGUUGUGAAAACUGGAGGCUCAACCUCCAGCUGUCGACGGAAACCGUAUGGCUAGAGUCCGGAAGAGGAGAGUGGAAUUCCUGGUGUAGCGGUGAAAUGCGCAGAUAUCAGGAAGAACACCAAUGGCGAAGGCAGCUCUCUGGGACGGUACUGACGCUGAGACGCGAAAGCGUGGGGAGCGAACAGG